rnacentral:rRNA from 1 species
AACNCNUGCAAGUCGAGCGGCAGCGGGAAAGUAGCUUGCUACUUUUGCCGGCGAGCGGCGGACGGGUGAGUAAUGCCUGGGAAAUUGCCCAGUCGAGGGGGAUAACAGUUGGAAACGACUGCUAAUACCGCAUACGCCCUACGGGGGAAAGCAGGGGACCUUCGGGCCUUGCGCGAUUGGAUAUGCCCAGGUGGGAUUAGCUAGUUGGUGAGGUAAUGGCUCACCAAGGCGACGAUCCCUAGCUGGUCUGAGAGGAUGAUCAGCCACACUGGAACUGAGACACGGUCCAGACUCCUACGGGAGGCAGCAGUGGGGAAUAUUGCACAAUGGGGGAAACCCUGAUGCAGCCAUGCCGCGUGUGUGAAGAAGGCCUUCGGGUUGUAAAGCACUUUCAGCGAGGAGGAAAGGUUGAUGCCUAAUACGUAUCAACUGUGACGUUACUCGCAGAAGAAGCACCGGCUAACUCCGUGCCAGCAGCCGCGGUAA